UUUGAUCCUGGCUCAGGAUGAACGCUAGCGGGAGGCCUAACACAUGCAAGCCGAGCGGUAGAGAGUAGCUUGCUACUCUUGAGAGCGGCGCACGGGUGCGUAACACGUGUGCAACCUACCUUUAUCUGGGGGAUAGCCUUUCGAAAGGAAGAUUAAUACCCCAUAAUAUAUUGACUGGCAUCAGUUGAUAUUGAAAACUCCGGUGGAUAGAGAUGGGCACGCGCAAGAUUAGAUAGUUGGUGAGGUAACGGCUCACCAAGUCAAUGAUCUUUAGGGGUCCUGAGAGGGAGAUCCCCCACACUGGUACUGAGACACGGACCAGACUCCUACGGGAGGCAGCAGUGAGGAAUAUUGGACAAUGGGUGAGAGCCUGAUCCAGCCAUCCCGCGUGAAGGAUGACGGCCCUAUGGGUUGUAAACUUCUUUUGUACAGGGAUAAACCUACCCUCGUGAGGGUAGCUGAAGGUACUGUACGAAUAAGCACCGGCUAACUCCGUGCCAGCAGCCGCGGUAAUACGGAGGGUGCAAGCGUUAUCCGGAUUUAUUGGGUUUAAAGGGUGCGUAGGCGGACCUGUAAGUCAGUGGUGAAAUCUCUCAGCUUAACUGAGAAACUGCCAUUGAUACUGCAGGUCUAGAGUAUAGAUGACGUUGGCGGAAUAUGACAUGUAGUGGUGAAAUACUUAGAUAUGUCAUAGAACACCGAUUGCGAAGGCAGCUAACGAAACUAUAACUGACGCUGAGGCACGAAAGUGCGGGGAUCAAACAGGAUUAGAUACCCUGGUAGUCCGCACCGUAAACGAUGAUUACUCGUUGUUGGCGAUAUGACAGUCAGCGACCAAGCGAAAGCGAUAAGUAAUCGCACCUGGGGAGUACGCCGGCAACGGUGAAACUCAAAGGAAUGA
rnacentral:rRNA from 1 species